CCCCUAGAUGUUCUGGGCCGCACGCGCGCUACACUGAACAGUUCAACAAGUCUUAACCUUGGCCGAUAGGUCUGGGUAAUCUUUGAACGCUGUUCGUGAUUGGGAUAGACCUUUGCAAUUAUGGGUCUUCAACGAGGAAUUCCUAGUAAACGCAAGUCAUCAGCUUGCAUUGAUUACGUCCCUGCCCUUUGUACACACCGCCCGUCGCACCUACUGAUUGGAUGACUCGGUGAAAAAUUGGGACUGUGAAGAACACUGCUUAAUUGCGGCGUUUUUUAUGGGAACUUUUUUAAACCUCGUUAUCUAGAAGAAGGUGAAGUCGUAACA
rnacentral:rRNA from 1 species